rnacentral:rRNA from 1 species
AGAGUUUGAUUAUGGCUCAGGAUGAACGCUGGCGGCGUGCUUAACACAUGCAAGUCGAACGAGGUCCAACCUUCGGGUGAAGACCGAGUGGCGAACGGGUGAGUAACACGUGGGAAACCUGCCCUUCUCUCUGGGAUAACCUCGGGAAACCGAAGCUAAUACCGGAUACUCCUUGCGGACCGCAUGGUCUGCUCGGGAAAGCUCCGGCGGAGAAGGAUGGCCCCGCGGCCCAUUAGCUUGUUGGUGGGGUAACGGCCCACCAAGGCGACGAUGGGUAGCCGAGCUGAGAGGCUGAUCGGCCACACUGGGACUGAGACACGGCCCAGACUCCUACGGGAGGCAGCAGUGGGGAAUCUUGCGCAAUGGGCGAAAGCCUGACGCAGCAACGCCGCGUGCGGGAUGAAGGCUCUCGGGUCGUAAACCGCUUUCAGCAGGGAUGAAAAUGACAGUACCUGCAGAAGAAGCCCCGGCUAAAUACGUGCCAGCAGCCGCGGUAAUACGUAUGGGGCAAGCGUUAUCCGGAUUCAUUGGGCGUAAAGCGCGCGUAGGCGGCUUGUUAAGUCAGGCGUGAAAUCCGGGGGCUCAACCCGCGGCUUGCGUCUGAAACUGGCAGGCUUGAGUCUGGUAGAGGAAAGUGGAAUUCCUGGUGUAGCGGUGAAAUGCGCAGAUAUCAGGAGGAACACCAGUGGCGAAGGCGGCUUUCUGGGCCACGGCUGACGCUGAGGCGCGAAAGCUAGGGGAGCGAACAGGAUUAGAUACCCUGGUAGUC